rnacentral:rRNA from 1 species
AGUGAACGCUGGCGGUAGGCCUAACACAUGCAAGUCGAACGGCAGCACAGUAAGAGCUUGCUCGUACGGGUGGCGAGUGGCGGACGGGUGAGGAAUACAUCGGAAUCUACUUUUCGUGGGGGAUAACGUAGGGAAACUUACGCUAAUACCGCAUACGACCUACGGGUGAAAGCAGUGGAUCUUCGGACCUUUCGCGAUUGAAUGAGCCGAUGUCGGAUUAGCUAGUUGGCGGGGUAAAGGCCCACCAAGGCGACGAUCCGUAGCUGGUCUGAGAGGAUGAUCAGCCACACUGGAACUGAGACACGGUCCAGACUCCUACGGGAGGCAGCAGUGGGGAAUAUUGGACAAUGGGGGCAACCCUGAUCCAGCCAUCCCGCGUGGGUGAAGAAGGCCUUCGGGUUGUAAAGCCCUUUUGUUGGGAAAGAAAAGCAGCAGGUUAAUACCCCGCUGUUCUGACGGUACCCACAGAAUAAGCACCGGCUAACUUCGUG